CCAACCUGGUUGAUCCUGCCAGUAGUCAUAUGCUUGUCUCAAAGAUUAAGCCAUGCAUGUCUCAGUAUCAGCAUUAUCAUUGCUAAACUGCGAAUGGCUCAUUAAAACAGUUAUAGUUUACUUGGCGGUCACUCGUUAUAUGGAUAACUGUGGUAAUUCUAGAGCUAAUACAUGCGUUAAAACCUGACUUCUCG
rnacentral:rRNA from 1 species